rnacentral:rRNA from 1 species
CUGGUCUGAGAGGAUGAUCAGCCACACUGGGACUGAGACACGGCCCAGACUCCUACGGGAGGCAGCAGUGGGGAAUUUUCCGCAAUGGGCGCAAGCCUGACGGAGCAAGACCGCGUGCGGGAUGACGGCCUAAUGGUUGUAAACCGCUUUUCUCUGGGAAGAAGAUGACGGUACCAGAGGAAUAAGCCUCGGCUAACUCCGUGCCAGCAGCCGCGGUAAUACGGAGGAGGCAAGCGUUAUCCGGAAUUAUUGGGCGUAAAGCGUCCGUAGGUGGUUCAUCAAGUCAGCUGUUAAAGAGCGGAGCUCAACUCCGUCGGAGCGGUUGAAACUGGUGAACUAGAGUUUGGUAGGGGUCGAGGGAAUUCCCAGUGUAGCGGUGAAAUGCGUAGAUAUUGGGAAGAACACCGGUGGCGAAAGCGCUCGGCUGGGCCAAAACUGACACUGAGGGACGAAAGCUAGGGGAGCGAAAGGGAUUAGAUACCCCUGUAGUCCUAGCCGUAAACGAUGGGUACUAGGUGUUGCUCGCGAUCGACCCGAGCAGUGCCGUAGCUAACGCGUUAAGUAUCCCGCCUGGGGAGUACGCUCGCAAGAGUGAAACUCAAAGGAAUUGGCGGGGGCCCGCACAAGCGGUGGAGUAUGUGGUUUAAUUCGAUGCAACGCGAAGAACCUUACCAGGGUUUGACAUCCCGCGAAUCUCUGUGAAAGUGGAGAGUGCCUUCGGGAGCGCGGAGACAGGUGGUGCAUGGCUGUCGUCAGCUCGUGUCGUGAGAUGUUGGGUUAAGUCCCGCAACGAGCGCAACCCACGUCCUUAGUUGCCAGCAUUGAGUUGGGCACUCUAGGGAGACUGCCGGUGACAAACCGGAGGAAGGUGUGGAUGACGUCAAGUCAGCAUGCCCCUUACAUCCUGGGCUACACACGUACUACAAUGCUAUGGACAAAGGGCAGCCAACCAGCGAUGGUGAGCUAAUCCCAUAAACCAUGGCUCAGUUCAGAUUGCAGGCUGCAACUCGCCUGCAUGAAGGAGGAAUCGCUAGUAAUCGCAGGUCAGCAUACUGCGGUGAUACGUUCCCGGGCAUUGUACACACCGCCCGUCACACCAUGGAAGUUGGU